rnacentral:lncRNA from 1 species
GCAAAGAGAAAAAUCUCUCUCUACACCAAAGAGAGGAUUGGAGAAGAAAAGAAAGAAAAAUUGAAGCAAGCUUGGAGAAGAUUAGAGUAGCUUGAAGUUGACGCUCUCUCUAAUGGUGGAAGCAAGCUUUCCAAUAGUGGAUUUAGCUUGAUGUGAAUGGUGGUCUAAGGUGAGAUCUCAUAAUUUAAGCUAGGAUUUGGUUUAAUCCUUAAUGCUUAGUGUUCCAAUAGCCUCUAAUGUGUUGAUUAGCAUGUUAAAUCCAUUUAAUUUGGGUUAAUUGGAGCAUGUGUAGAGGCUAGGUUUAUAAUGAUAGAUCUUAAGAGCUUUAAUUAUAUGCUCUAAGAAUGGAUUUAGAGGAAUCCUUAGAUGCUAAAUGGAUAACUAUUGCAUGAAUUAAGGGAUCAUAUGAUGAAUUCUUGCAAUAGUGUAUCUUAAGGCUCAAAAAUAGGAUUUUGUAAAAUAGUAGGGUUUGAUCUCAUUUGACCCUCCGUAAACCUAAUUGCUAGGUAAACGAACGCGUUGGCGAAGUCGGUUCGGCGAUUCGUCGAGCCGUUGCAAAGUUAUUAAAGAAACGGAUGUUUAGGCUUCGUUUCCGCCUGGAGGGCCGAGGCGACGUCGUAAAAUCAUGAGAUCGGAUCUGAAGCACCGUGUUAGCGUGGCGAAGAGCUUCUGCACUUGAAACGGCGAAGCGGUGCGCUUUUGGAGUGCAACUGUGAGAUCGGGCCCAAACCGGGUUACGGGUGCCGCGGGAGGCCGAUUGCAAGUGUCGACAAGCAGUCGAAAAGCGUGUUGAGGUCGGUUGUGCUCACCGAAGCGAUUAGGUCGCUUUCCGUGCCAAAGUGUAGUAUGUUUACUAUUGAUGCAUGAUAAAGUAUGCUAUUUAAGAAUGCAUGAUAAAAAUAGAUAUCAAAUAAAUGAAUGAGUUGAUGUUAAUUUACAUGAGCAUAUUAUAGAAAUGCUAAACAGAUGUCAAAUGAAAGUAUGAGAUUUAUACUAACCGAGAAUGCAUGUGGUAAAUGUUAACGAAUGCAUAAAAUGCUAAGUAAUGACUACCAAUGGAUGACAAAAUAUAUGCAUGUUGAACAUAGAUCGAGUGGCAUUUGGAAAUGGUAAAGUGGACACUAGAGUUAGUGUGGGACAUCAAAGAAUAAAUGUGAUGUAAAGAAUAAUGAUAAUGGUUAGAGACAAUGCAAAGCAAUGUGAUGUAAAGAAUAAUAAUAAUGGCUAGGGACAAUGCAAAGCAAUGUGAUGUAAAGAAUAAUGAUAAUGGCUAGAGCAAUGCAAAGCAAUGUCAUGUAAAGAAUAAUGAUAAUGGCUAGAGGCAAUGUAAAGUAAUGUGGCAUAAAGAACAAGUAAAGUGUAAAGAACAACGAUAAUGGCUAGAGUUAGCAACCAAUGUGACAUGAAACACACUAGAGUUAGUGUGUGGCAACAAAAGAACAAGUGUGACAUCAAGAAUGACAAUUACUAGAGUAAUUGACAAGUGGGGUGUAAAGAACAAUGAUUGCUAGAGUCAGCAACUAAUGUGAUGUAAAGAACACUAGAGUUAGUGUAAAGCCAUGAUUCAACUACAUAUCCUUAGAGUUAAGGAUUGAUUAUACUUGCUAUGAGUUCCGUGCUUAAGGGCAGUAGCUCCCCCUCAAGCGAUGCGCUCCGGAGUUUUGCAUCACGGGUUGGAGUAAACCCGAGGACGGUCCUAGCAGGUGAGUUCCUGCGAGGAUGGACUUAAUGUGAAGCAAGUUUAAUGUGGUGAAACCCCCGGGUUAGCCGUGAGAUUAAAGAACAAAGAACAAAAAGGAAUCAUGAAUUGGAAAGUGGAUCUUGUAUUCAUUAUGAAUUCACUCAAGAUCGAGUCGUGUGGCAUAGUUGGCUAAGGUAAAGGUAACCCUAGGAAAGAAUGACAAUUGUGAAAGAAUGACAAUUGAAAAACGUUUGUUAAUGUUAUAAAGAAUGGCAAAUGUGUAUAAUGUGCUUAAGGUGCGAGUGUUCUUAGCAAAGAAUAAAGAAUAAAGAAUAAAGAAUAAAGAGUAAAGAAUGGCUAAUGAUAAAGAAUAGCAAAUUCUAAAGAAAGGCUAAUGGUAAAGAAUGACAAAGAGUUGCAUAAUUUGCAUAUUUGUGAGGCAUGAACAUGUAUUGCACGAUGUUAUAUGUAUAUGUAUCUGUUGGACUAAUAUGUUGCUGUGCCUCCUUUGGACCUGGUGGGUUGAGCUCUUCCCUUGGGUGGCUGUACCCACUGAGGAUUAUGGACAAUAGUCUCACCCUCGUGUUGUUGUUUUUGGGGGUACAGGUUCACACGCGAGCGGCGCGGCUGCGCGAGGAAAGGGCGUAGCUCCGUAGUUAGCGCCCUACCACCGAGACCAGAUAGGGGUACCCCGAGUCGGCAUAGCCUAGGGGUAGAGGAAAAAGAAAAAGAGAAGAAUCAAUGUUGUAAUAAUUAUGUUUAGAACUUGAUUGUAUUUUUGGAAGUUGAGGAUCAAUGUGAUUUACAAAUAAAGUGAUGAAAAAAUGAAACGUGUAAGAUGCAUAAUUGUAAUAACUUAGUUGAAAUUAUGUUUUUGAUACUUCCUUAUGCAAUCUUUGGUUGAAUGUGUUCCUGGUUGGAACUUCGUACAUUGUAUUGAUUGCGACGCCUUGAACGUACAGGGGAGACUCUGUCCGCGGUACAGGGGAAACCCUGUCCGUUCGGCGGUCUGUUGGCGUGCCCGAAUCCGACCAAAGAGGCGGGCUCGGGGCGUGACAGAUAAGAUGGUAUCAGAGCAUAAAGUAGAGAAUGGGAAAGUGGUUUAGAUGAACCUAGGAGACCCUAGGAUAGUAAACCAUAGGAGAUUAAGGCUCGUGAGAGACGAGGACUUGUGACUUGUGGCGAAAGGAUAAUGGAUUGGGUUAUGUUGUAAACCUCUAAAAAGGAGAUUAGAGGUAGAUCCAAGGUGGUAUCAGAGCAUAAAAGAACAUAAAAAGAAUAAUAGAAAAUGGUUUAGUUGGACCUAGGAGACCCUAGGAUAGCAAACAAUAGGAGAUUAAGGCUCGUGAGAGACGAGGACUUGUGACUUUUGGCGAAAGAUAAAUUGAUUGGGUUAUGUUGUAAACCUCUAAAAAGGAGAUUAGAGGUAGAUCCCAGGUAUGGUUUAUUCUCAACUGAGGGUGUUCAUGUUGGACGCGUACAACAUGAAACCGAGUGAUGAGAAUAGAUGCCCUUGUAUAACUUUCGCCCGAUUUGAGUUAAUGUCAAUUGUUUCAUGCUCGACCUAGAAGGUUGAGAGUUAGUCGAGUUGUCAUGUUUUAGGUAACGAAGGCACCGCGUAGGCAAUCUUCAUCUAGAUCGAUGCGGGGUGGGACAAGUGAUGUCCCUGAGCAAUCCGAGGCAAGCGGAGACUUGGAACUUCGCGAACGGUUGACCACACUUGUGGGUGUGGUGAGGCAGCAAGCCGAUGUGGUGCAGCAACAGCAGGAGGCUGCUAUGCGCUAGGAGAAGCGAAUUAAGAGACUCCAGGAAACUGUAGACUAGCUGGUGACUGCACCAGUUGCGGCUCGUUGAGGAUAGCCGAGAGUUGCGGCGGAGAUCCCUCCGUCGGGGUCAGGCGAUCCGACUCCCGAAAGUGCAAUGCUGGAGGUAGAAAAAGAGUGUGCUUUAGAAGCCCUCCUGACCCUUUUAAAGUUUGAUCCACCUAUCUUCAAUGGAAAGAAUGUCGAUCCAUGGAUCGUGGAGACGUGGAUUGACUCCGUGGAAGCGCUCUUCGAGGAGCUAUACACAUUGGAGCGAGACAAGGUGCCCCUAGCCGUGCAUUGUUUAAAAUUGUCGGCAAAGGUGUGGUGGAAGGGCAUUCGGUGGAACCGAUCGCCUAGUCUUCCUCCCAUGGCUUGGGAAGAGUUUCGGGGAUUGUUGUUUUCUACGUACUUUCCCGACAGUGAAAAGAGAAAGCUUCAGGACAAGUUCAGGAAGCUGCGGCAAGGAGACCGCUCAGUUAGGGAAUACGAAUGGGAAUUCUGUCUAUCGUGAACUAUGUCCGAGAUAUAGAACCUUCUGCUGACGACGUCAUGCCAGGUAUGAGCUAUUAAUGCAGUUAUGUGUUUCUGCAUAAUGUAAAGUUGGUGCAUUGCAUGCAUUGAGCAUGUAGUUAAUUACUACUAUUUAUGUAGUAGCAUAGUAGGGUCCGAGUGAACGGAUAAGUGUAAAUGCCCGGGCACGCUUAUGUUGUGAAGGCAUAGCACCUGCCGGUGCAGGUAGAGAACUAGAUGACACUAGCGAGUUGCUAGUAAUGAUCUAAUGAUGAGACUUGUAGUAGAGGUGGAAAUGACGAACCAACUCGCAGAGCAAUGUAUGUAAUUGAUUGCGAGAGUUGUGUCAUGACACUUGUGGACACUCGAAUGGUUUGAGUGUUCUAGAUGUUGCUCCGGUAGAGCGAUUGGCUGCCAAAUACAGGCGCAUUGGCCUAAUAGUACCUCAAAUUGAGGUGGGUGAGUCGUGCUCGUGUGGCCGGUGUGCAUAGGCAAAGUUGCCUGAUGCUUGACAUAGUUGGAACGCUAUAGAGGCGCGUAGAGCGCUCGAGUAUAGUUACUCGUGGAGUGCGGAUGUAAUUCAGCCAAGUGAGAGUGUUGGCAGUAGCACCUGAGCAUUUCUAGGUGUGAAGCAUGCCAUGGAUCACUCGUGGGGCUGGUGGCUCGCACUAGGUGCAUAGGAGCCGAUAGUGGUACGUAUUGUGCUAUAGAGCGUGUAGUGCGAUUGAUAGUAUACUGAGAGUGCGAGUGUGACCCAACCCGGGAAUCUGUAACGGUUUGGGAUUUUAGUUGCUCCUGGUUGGAGUGUGUGCGAAUUCCCCAGUGAGAAUUUCGCCCCAACGAUGAUUGGGUCUACGCUUGCGAGCGAGGGACGUCGAGUAUUGAGACGGGUUUAGGCUGUAGGCCUACGUAGUAUGGGUGGCCUUUGGCUCACCUGUGGAAAGUCGAGGAAAGUGAUUUGGCGAGUAGCCUUAUCGGGGAGUUUGACUUGAGUUCACGAAUGACGUGUUCAUGUGAGCUCUUUGCGAAAGUAAUAAGACGUUGGCCGUGGCAUAUGGUAUCAGAAGAUGAAGUGCUCGUGGUGAGACCUUGAACUUGUGAGAAGCCACGUGGAGUUUGAGGAUUGGAUUUGGGAUGUGCCGAGGUGGCUCAUGUUAGAGCUAAAGAUCGGUGCGGAAUUAGAGCACUCGCGGUGAAGCGAUGCACUAGUGAUGUUGCUUUUAAGCAAUGUUGGAGAUAGAAUCGGAGUGUAUUCCCUGAGGGGAAAGUAAAUGCGAAGAAGAGUUCUUGUAUGCCAAGUGACAAGUGGUAUUGGAGCGCGUGGAGUCGUUGAGUUUCGACUUGCGCCGCCACCAAGAGUGAUGGAUACCCUAAUGCACUUUGUGAGAUGCGCCUUGCAAAGUUGGAUGCAUUUGGUAUCAUGAACUCCGUGGUAGUCCUCUUGGAUAGUUCCAAGGAGUGUAAAGCCAUUCCGAAGUGGAAAGUGUAUUGGUGCCCUCAAUUGCUCGAGGAGUUGAAUUGAGGCGUGAAUUGAGUUUCACGGACGAAACUCUUUUUAAGGAGUGGAGAAUGUAAUAUACCAGAUUUUGGUAUAAAAAUAAAGAUAAAUAAAAGUAGUGUGAGAUACUAUUUUUAUUGGGCUUCGGAAAGCAAAAUAUAUGUCUAGAGUGACUUGUGCUGAAAUCGGAAUGAAAACAGAAGAUUUAUAAUUUUCUGUUGGAAACAGGGCAGAUAAAAUUAGCAGGAAAUGCACAGGGUCAGAAAAUUAUGAAAAUUGGCGGAAGAUGUCAGAAAUAUUUUUAUGAGGCUAGAUUUAAGGUUUCAUAUUUUUCUGACACCCAUAGAGUGAGAAAUAAAAUCCGAAAGCUAUCUGAUAAAGAUUGCAGUCCGGUAUAGUUUUCGAUGACCAAACGUGGUCGAAACUGAAAGAUUAAAAUUUCUUCGGACUUAUUAAGAAAAAUCGAGCCUGCCUGCCAAAUUUGAACGCAAACGGAUGUUCAGAAGGGCUCCGGCAAAAAAAAGUUAGUUUUAAGCCCCCCUGGAGUGAAUAGUGUUUUUGGAAGCUUCAUAGGAAACUUGGAGAGCAAGUUUCAUAGGAAACUUGGAGAGCAAGUUUCCUCUCUAUGUAUAUAUAGGACUUGGGCUUUCUUUCCUCUCAUUAUUCACACUCACAAGCAAAGAGAAAAAUCUCUCUCUACACCAAAGAGAGGAUUGGAGAAGAAAAGAAAGAAAAAUUGAAGCAAGCUUGGAGAAGAUUAGAGUAGCUUGAAGUUGAAGCUCUCUCUAAUGGUGGAAGCAAGCUUUCCAAUAGUGGAUUUAGCUUGAUGUGAAUGGUGGUCUAAGGUGAGAUCUCAUAAUUUAAGCUAGGAUUUGGUUUAAUCCUUAAUGCUUAGUGUUCCAAUAGCCUCUAAUGUGUUGAUUAGCAUGUUAAAUCCAUUUAAUUUGGGUUAAUUGGAGCAUGUGUAGAGGCUAGGUUUAUAAUGAUAGAUCUUAAGAGCUUUAAUUAUAUGCUCUAAGAAUGGAUUUAGAGGAAUCCUUAGAUGCUAAAUGGAUGACUAUUGCAUGAAUUAAGGGAUCAUAUGAUGAAUUCUUGCAAUAGUGUAUCUUAAGGCUCAAAAAUGGAGUUUUGUGAAAUAGUAGGGUUUGAUCUCAUUUGACCCUCCGUAAACCUAAUUGCUAAGUCGGUUCGGUGAUUCGUUGAGCCGUUGCAAAGUUAUUAAAGAAACGGAUGUUUAGGCUUCGUUUCCGCCUGGAAGGCCGAGGCGACGCCCUAAAAUCAUUAGAUCGGAUCUGGAGCACCGUGUUAGCGUGGCGAAGAGCUUCUGCACUUGAAACGGCGAAGCAGUGCGCUCUUGGAGUGCAACUGUGAGAUCGGGCCCAAACCGGGUUACGGGUGCCGCGGGAGGCCGAUUGCCAGUGUCGACAAGCAAUCGAAAAGCGUGUUGAGGUCGGUUGUGCUCACCGAAGAGAUUAGGUUGCUUUCCGUGCCAAAGUGUAGUAUGUUUACUAUUGAUGCAUGAUAAAGUAUGCUAUUUAAGAAUGCAUGAUAAAGAUAGAUGUCAAAUGAAUGCAUGAGUUGAUGUUAAUUUACAUGUGCAUAUUAUAGAAAUGCUAAACAGAUGUCAAAUGAAAGUAUGAGAUUUAUACUAACCGAGAAUGCAUGUAGUAAAUGUUAACGAAUGCAUAAAAUGCUAAGUAAUGACUACCAAUGGAUGACAAAAUAUAUGCAUGUUGAAUAUAGAUCGAGUGGUAUUCGAAAUGGUAAAGUGGACACUAGAGUUAGUGUGGGACAUCAAAGAAUAAAUGUGAUGUAAAGAAUAAUAAUAAUGGGUAGAGACAAUGUAAAGCAAUGUGACGUAAAGAAUAAUGAUAAUGGUUAGAGACAAUGCAAAGCAAUGUGAUGUAAAGAAUAAUAAUAAUGGCUAGGGACAAUGCAAAGCAAUGUGAUGU